AUGAAUGGCCGCGGUACUUUGACCGUGCUAAGGUAGCGUAAUCAGUUGGCUUUUAAAUGGAGUCAGGAAUGAAUGGAUUAACCGGGUUUAGCUGUCUCUAAGUUAUUGUGUCGAAUUUACUGUCUAAGUGAAAAAGCUUAGAGUUAAAAAAGGGACGAGAAGACCCUUAGAAUUUUUUCUAAAAAUAGUGUAUUUCUUUAAUGAAGAGAAUUGCUUUUACUGAUUUUGUUGGGGCGACAGAGAAAUAUUUAAAAACUUUCUUUUUUAGACAUGCCGAUUGUAUUAAGAGAGGACAAAUUACCUGAGGGAUAACAGCAUAAUUCUAUAAAUGAGUUUGUGACCUCGAUGUUGGACUAGGAAACUAGCAAGCUAGGCGUUUG
rnacentral:rRNA from 1 species